AGAGAGAGAGAGAGAGAGAGAGAGAGAGAAUGUGUAAGACUGAUGAUGUGUAUAAGGCCUCUGCAUGUUUUGGUUUUGUAUUUGUGUAGGCUAUUUAUGUAAGCUGAUAAACACCUUAAUUUUGUUUGGAAUUAGGCCUAACAUGAUAAAAAGUACUUCACUCUAUUCUACAUCCGCAGCUCCAUGAAUGUCAUGAGACACUCCAGGAGACGGUGGUUGCAAUGCAUUAUCAACACCCCGCAACCCCAACCCUCCAAUGGAACCCAGAACCCUCCGGAGUUCCUCAGGACCUGUCGGCAUGAGUGAGGCGAACACAUCGUGCGUUGGAGGAAGAGUUGCAGUGACGACUUGGACCACAGGCCAGAAGCCUGAAAUAGAUUCUUUGAGAAUCUUAAAAGUCAAACAACUGGGCCUUGCGGGGAGGACUGAUGACGUGAGAAAAAAAGGAAAAAUUUGAUGAGCAGACGUGAGCGGCAGUGGUGCUGGUGGCGCAGGAUGUCCUGGAGGAGGACGACCUCGACUACCUCAAGGAGCUGAUGCUAGCCUUGUGCCUGAUGGGGAAACAAGUGCACAUUUGUUGUGCUCUGUCUGAGAUGGAGAAGUGUGCGCCUUGCUGGCGUACUUCAAUUGAUGCCUGCAAGCCCAGCCACCGAGUGACCGGUAGUGGCCGGUUCUCCCUUCGUGACCCCCCCCCCCUUCUGCGGCCGACAAAGCUUGAAAUAUGAUUAAAUGUA